GGCUGUGUGGUCUAGUGGUAUGAUUCUCCCUUAGGGUGCGAGAGGUCCCGAAUUCAAUUAUCGGCACAGCCC
rnacentral:tRNA from 1 species